rnacentral:lncRNA from 1 species
GUAAUGGCUGAGCAGAAGAGUUCAUAUCAUUGGAUUCCAUGGUUUUGAACAAUAAUUCUCUGGAAGAACCUUGGAGUUACAAGCUGAAGAAAGCUCUCUUGAACUCUUAGGGAAUUAAAGAGUCAGAAGGGGACCUGUGGAGUCAUCUUGAUCAACACACAACACUACAGCUAAUCAAGUCUUAAGGCAGAAUGAGGCAGAUGUCUCAAGCCACACGGCACCUGAGGUAUGAGACUGUGCUGCUUCUCUCCCCAGGUAAAAGGUAAAGGUUGUUCUUGACAUUUAGUCCAGUCGUGUCUGACUCUAGGGCGAGGUGCUCAUUUCCAAGCCAUAGAGCGAGCAUUUUUUCUGAAGAUAGUUUCCGUGGUAACGUAGCCACCACGACUAGACACAGAGCGCCGUUACCUUUCCACUGAGGUGGUACCUAUUUAUCUACUCACAUUUACAUGCUUUCGAACUGCUAGGUUGGUGAGGAGCUGGGACAAGCGACAGGAGCUCACUCCAUCCUGUGGAUUCGAUCUUACGACUGCUGGUCUUCUGACCCUGCAGCACAGAGGCUUCUGCAGUUUAAUCCACAGCGUCACCACGUCCCCAUCUCUCUCCAGUUGUUCACCCUAAGCAGCAAGUGCGACACCUGCAUCCCAACUUUUCCCAUUUGGGUCAAAGAACUGUCAUUCAUCUAUAUUGCCUUUGCUACAUGCGGCUGCUUUUGA